GACUUGUAUGUAUAAUUUUUGUAUACACUGUAGCUGUGCUCUUUGCGCAGUCAAAUUGCAUUGACUGUAUAAUCAUUUCUUAUCAUUUUUUUAUGUACAGUCACUGACUGUAUAUAUUUCUCCCUUUUUAUGAUAAUAAGCUGGUUCUCGGCUGACUACUUCACUUUGUUCAUCAGUUUCAGUGAAGCGUAAUACAAGUGGAUUCCAGUUUUCUGUGACCGGUUGACAAUUCGUUUCCGUUGAGUUUUAUUUAUGACGUCAUUCCCGGAAUUUUUACGUCAUUCGCUCCAAAUUCAAUAAUGAUGGUUUUUAUCCUAAAUAUUUCAUCUGGAACCAUAUAUUUAGAAUGACCAUGAAUUUGCCAUAUUAGAAUAGAAAUAAUUCAUUGAGUUAUUUUUAGACAUGGUAUUCCCCAUCUGCCAUGGUAUUUGCUAGGGCAUUUCCCAUCUGCCAUGGUAUUUGCUAGCAAAUACCCCGGUACAUGGAAUUCCCUAAUGGCAAAUACCCCGGCAGAGAAAAGAAAAUCUCAAUAUAUAGAAAUUGGUGAAAAAUACCAUGUUUCUCAUCCAAUCAAAAUACAGCAUUAUUACAUAAGGUGGAAUUAU
rnacentral:lncRNA from 1 species